AUUGAACGCUGGCGGCAGGCCUAACACAUGCAAGUCGAACGGUAACAGGAAGCAGCUUGCUGCUUCGCUGACGAGUGGCGGACGGGUGAGUAAUGUCUGGGCAACUGCCUGAUGGAGGGGGAUAACUACUGGAAACGGUAGCUAAUACCGCAUAACGUCGCAAGACCAAAGAGGGGGACCUUAGGGCCUCUUGCCAUCGGAUGUGCCCAGAUGGGAUUAGCUAGUAGGUGGGGUAACGGCUCACCUAGGGGACGAUCCCUAGCUGGUGUGAGAGGAUGACCAGCCACACUGGAACUGAGACACGGUCCAGACUCCUACGGGAGGCAGCAGUGGGGAAUAUUGGACAAUGGGGGCAAGCCUGAUGCAGCCAUGCCGCGUGUAUGAAGAAGGCCUUCGGGUUGUAAAGUACUUUCAGCGGGGAGGAAGGGAGUAAAGUUAAUACCUUGGCUCAUUGACGUUACCCGCAGAAGAAGCACCGGCUAACUCCGUG
rnacentral:rRNA from 1 species